GCCUGGAUAGUUCAGGUGGUUAGAACAUGGUGCUACUAACACCAAGGUUGCAGGUUCCAUCCCCAUCUGGGAUA